GACGAACGCUGGCGGUGUGCUUAACACAUGCAAGUGGUACGACGAACCAGAGCUUGCGCUGGGGCAACGCCGCGCACGGGUGAGUAACACGUGGGUAAUCUACCCCGUUGACUGGGACAUCCCGAGGAAACACGGGGUAAUACCGGAUGUAGUGCGGCGACAUAAGUCUUUUCGCUAAAGGUAGCUUCGGCUUCCGCAAUGGGAGGGGCCCGCGGCGCAUUAGCUUGUUGGUGGGGUCAAGGCCUACCAAGGCAAGGAUGGGUGGCUGGGCUGAGAGGCCGAUCGCCCACCCGGGAACUGGACCACGGCCCAGGCUCCUACGGGAGGCAGCAGUGGGGAAUCUUGCGCAAUGCGCGAAAGCGUGACGCAGCAACCCCGCGUGAGGGAAGAAGGCCUUAGGGUUGUAAACCUCUUUCUGAGGGGACAAAGGUUCUCCGGUGAAUAGCCGAGAGGAUUGACGGUACCGUCAGAAGAAGCUCCGGCUAACUACGUG
rnacentral:rRNA from 1 species